GGCUCUGAGAAGUCCUCCAAUGAAGAUACACAAAGACCAGUAAAAUGAAGAUACACAAAGACAAGUAAAAUGAAGACUGAGGAAUUCAAGAACCACAUAAGGAAAGGGCUGCCACUUCCCGAAUCCCAGGGUUUGGUGUCUGUGCCUCGUGCCACGCGCUUGUCUCAUCUUUGCCUCUGCUUCCUGAUGGACGGACACUGUUACAAAAGAUGGAUGAGUUUGAAGCUGAAGUCACGCAGUGUUCUGCCAGCAUCAGGAGGGAUUCAUGCCUGGGACAGAGAGGAGAAGAGCUCCUGGGAUUUGCAGAAGAAAGAGGCCUGGGGACAAAUAGAUGUCAUCACUGGGGCCCCAGGAAGACCUUAUCGGGCCUGUAGACUCUUCCUUUGGAGCCCUGGUCUUAGCAGUGUUGUUUUCUGGCCCUUGGCAGAUGGUUACUAUACCUGGGAGUUACUUGCCUCUGAAGGCCACUUCACCUUAGGAUGGCGGGUAGUUAAGUCUAGAGGAGUGAGAGAGCAGAUAAGUUCUCAGUUCAUGGGUGUUUGA
rnacentral:lncRNA from 1 species